CGCGUAGGUGGUUGUGAUAGUCAGAUGUGAAAUCCUUUGGCUUAACUGAAGAACUGCAUCUGAAACUUCAUAACUCGAGUACAGGAGGAGGGAAACGGAAUUCCCGGUGUAGAGGUGAAAUUCGUAGAUAUCGGGAGGAACACCAGUGGCGAAGGCGGUUUCCUGGCCUGAUACUGACACUGAGGCGCGAAAGCGUGGGGAGCAAACA
rnacentral:rRNA from 1 species